rnacentral:rRNA from 1 species
GACGAACGCUGGCGGCGUGCUUAACACAUGCAAGUCGAGCGGAAAGGCCCUUUCGGGGGUACUCGAGCGGCGAACGGGUGAGUAACACGUGAGUAAUCUGCCCCUGGCUUUGGGAUAGCCACCGGAAACGGUGAUUAAUACCGGAUACGACCACUUCUCGCAUGGGAUGGUGGUGGAAAGUUUUUCGGCCAGGGAUGUGCUCGCGGCCUAUCAGCUUGAUGGUGAGGUAAUGGCUCACCAUGGCUUCGACGGGUAGCCGGCCUGAGAGGGGGACCGGUCACACUGGGACUGCGACACGGCCCAGACUCCUACGGGAGGCAGCAGUGGGGAAUAUUGGACAAUGGGCGGAAGCCUGAUCCUGCAACGCCGCGUGAGGGAUGACGGCCUUCGGGUUGUAAACCUCUUUCAGCAGGGACGAAGCGCAAGUGACGGUACCUGCAGAAGAAGCACCGGCCAACUACGUGCCAGCCGCCGCCGUAA